rnacentral:rRNA from 1 species
AGCGUAGACGGUAAAGCAAGUCUGAAGUGAAAGCCCGGGGCUCAACCCCGGGACUGCUUUGGAAACUGUUUAACUAGAGUGCUGGAGAGGUAAGCGGAAUUCCUAGUGUAGCGGUGAAAUGCGUAGAUAUUAGGAGGAACACCAGUGGCGAAGGCGGCUUACUGGACAGUAACUGACGUUGAGGCUCGAAAGCCAGGGGAGCGAAG